GACGAACGCUGGCGGCGUGCUUAACACAUGCAAGUCGAACGGAAAGGCCCUGCUUUUGUGGGGUGCUCGAGUGGCGAACGGGUGAGUAACACGUGAGUAACCUGCCCUUGACUUUGGGAUAACUUCAGGAAACUGGGGCUAAUACCGGAUAGGAGCUCCUGCUGCAUGGUGGGGGUUGGAAAGUUUGGGCGGUUGGGGAUGGACUCGCGGCUUAUCAGCUUGUUGGUGGGGUAGUGGCUUACCCAGGCUUUGACGGGUAGCCGGCCUGGGAGGGUGACCGGCCACAUUAGGACUGAGAUACGGCCCAGACUCCUACGGGAGGCAGCAGUGGGGAAUAUUGCACAAUGGGCGGAAGCCUGAUGCAGCAACGCCGCGUGCGGGAUGACGGCCUUCGGGUUGUAAACCGCUUUCGCCUGUGACGAAGCGUGAGUGACGGUAAUGGGUAAAGAAGCACCGGCUAACUACGUG
rnacentral:rRNA from 1 species